rnacentral:lncRNA from 1 species
GAUUAAAAGAUAGGACCUCGUCUAUAGAAAAGGGUUGGUUUUGACCUAUUGCAAUCAACUCCGGACACAGAUUAUAAUUAGGGGCAGGACGUGUUGACUCCCAUGGUCUAUGGCUGAUCUCCGAAGGUGCAAAGAAUUCAAUAAUAGGUAUGGAAUUUGAGUUAUCCAUAAAGAUAAAAAUAAAAAGAUAAAAGAAUAAAAGUAUAAAAGUAUAAUACAAGAUAAUAGCAAGACUCAAAGUUAUCUCAGCAAACCGUCUUUCUCCCCGGCAACGGCACCAGAAAUGCUUGUUGAUAUUUGGUAACGCAAUAAGGAAAUGAUCCGCAAGUGCACGG